rnacentral:rRNA from 1 species
AUUCCAGCUCUAGUAGCGUAUAUUAAAGUUGUUGCAGUUAAAAAGCUCGUAGUUGGAUUUUUGGGUCGUACGAGCCGUCCGAGGUUUCUCGUGUGCGGAGCGUUUGGCUCACCCUUCCAGUUGGGCGCAAGUGUCCUUAGUUGGGCGCCUGUCGUUUGUCUGGAACUUUUACUUUGAGCAAAAUAGAGUGUUCAAAGCAGGCUAAAGCCUUGAAUACAUUAGCAUGGAAUAUCAAUAUAGGACCAUGGUCUUAUUUUGUUGGUUUUUAGGACCAGGGUAAUGAUUAACAGGGACAGUUGGGGGCAUUCAUAUUUAGUUGUCAGAGGUGAAAUUCUAAGAUUUGCGAAAGAUGAACUUCUGCGAAAGCAUUUGCCAAGGAUGUUUUCAUUG